rnacentral:lncRNA from 1 species
AGUGAAAGGGAAUAGUCAGUUCCUUCCUACAAAUUCAUCAUGUGGUAUCUUUACAGAGGGAUUUUCUGUUUCAGGAAAAUAAUAAGGGUAGAGAAGGAAAUUGCUAAGGAUGACCUAGGUCAACACAGAGAAAGACUAUCCAGGUAUGUGCUAGUAAAAUAUGGGAGCAGGCUCUGCGAGGAAUAUUCUCAGCUUUAAUAGAUGGUGGAGUGUAGAUGAUUCUCGGUAAGUGUGCUCGCGACACUAAACUGGGGGUUUGGAUCGUAGCUUAAAAUAACAGAAUCACUUCAUAAAAAGUAUUUUCCUAAAGAAAGAAUACUUUGAGAAAUGUGAAUGGGAAGAAAGAAGUGUGGAGUCGGGCUAAUGUUUGCAGUAAUCCUUUUUAUUUAUUUUUUUCUUUCCUUACAGAAUAAAAUAUUCCUGUGGAUGGUCUUUCUAAGGGUCUCGGUUGUCUCGUUCCUUUCCCAGGAUUCUUGGACUAAAACACGAAAACAAACAAGCAAACAAAAGCUCGUCAGCUGGGUCCACUCUGUUAAACUGAGGUUGGAAGAGGUGAUCCAAGUUUCCAGAUGCGCUGUUAUGAAAAGGAAGAGGAAGGCGCCGAACCACACAUGCUCAGAUCCUUCUCCUAAACCUUCCGUAUCAUGAGUGGAGUGGGAUGACCUUUCAAUGGAGGAAGCUCCUGACUUUGAGGGGUCUGGGAAAGAAUGGCAAUGUGUUACCACCCAUACUUGUUCCUGUUCGUCUCCUUCAGAAACGUACAUUAUAUUUUCAAGUACAUGAAGAACAGAAGUUUUGUUAAAACUUACAAUUGAAACUCAGUGUGACAACUAUGUAAGUCCCCAGUGGUGAAUAUAUAAACGAC